UGAACUCCUCUCUCUCUAGAAAAGGGGCUAGGGCUUCUUGGGUUGUGUUGAAAAAGAUGCGGUGAAGAAGAAUGUUUUUGUCUUAUUUUUUGGAGGGAUGGUAUGAGCGUGUGUUGCUUAUAUUCUUGGAUUAUCCGAAGUGAGGCAGUGCAUAUCGUGUUCUUUUGGAUGAUCAUAAAAAAGCCAAACACCCUGAUUCUCCAUCCAUCAAUGGCUCCACCUCUGGUUUCACGACCGGAUUCAGGCCGGCGUCAAUUGUUGUUGGGGAAAGAGAGCUCUUCGGCUUCAAGAUUUGCAGAGACAGCGUGAGGAACCAUGGCCUCUUGCGCUGCUGUUUGCAGUUGUUGUACUUGCGGCCUCGUCAAUCUCUUGGUUUUAGCCAUGGUCAAAUUACCAGCAAGUCUAUGCAAGAGAGCGUUGAGGAGAAAGAAGCGAGAGAAAAAGGGCAAGAAGGAUGUGCUUAUACCUAAUCGAUCGGAGUUGCUGGUUCACCCUAUAAGACCAGCCCCAACUGGGCCAGAAAAUUGGCCGGAAAUUGCCGAAAAUUGGCCGGAAAAGUCAUCGAAAAAGCAGGUGGAGGAGAUGGUGGGAGAAGAUGCACACUGGUUUUUGGAGGAGUAUACAGUGAAACAUUGCUUUCUCUCUCUAAAUAUGCAGUAUCCGUUGCAUUUCUCUCUCUCUAAA